ACUCCUACGGGAGGCAGCAGUGGGAAUAUUGGACAAUGGGCGAAAGCCUGAUCCAGCCAUGCCGCGUGUGUGAAGAAGGCCCUCGGGUUGUAAAGCACUUUCAGUGAGGAAGAACGCUUGUGGGCUAAUACCCUGCAAGGAAGACAUCACUCACAGAAGAAGCACCGGCUAACUCCGUGCCAGCAGCCGCGGUAAUACGGAGGGUGCGAGCGUUAAUCGGAAUUACUGGGCGUAAAGCGCAUGCAGGCGGCCUGUUAAGUCAGAUGUGAAAGCCCGGGGCUUAACCUCGGAAUUGCAUUUGAAACUGGCAGGCUAGAGUCUUGUAGAGGGGGUGAGAAUUGAUCAGGUGUAGCGGUGAAAUGCGUAGAGAUCUGAAGG
rnacentral:rRNA from 1 species